CCCAGAUUUGACACCAUAUGUGCUCUCAGAGGUGAGAUAAAGAAAAGAAAUGAAGAGAUCUGUCUAAGCUCCCAAAUGAAAGUCCUGAAGGGGUUACAAUGACUAAACACAUUCUUGGCACAAUGCUAGACAAGUCUUAGAACUGCUGCUGACAUGAGCUCAGCUCUUGACAUAAAUGAAAAUUCCACUUUAAAGAGCAUAGAAUUGGCAGACUGGCAUGUAGAUGAAGUUACAGAUCUCAAGGACACUUUCAAGUUGCAAGAGGCAAAAAGACGGACUAACAACAGUCUUUUGUUCUGGUGGGGCUGCUGUGAGCCGAUUGUUCAAGUUCUUGCUUCCCUGCUAGCCCCACAGCCAGGCUUGAAAAUGUCUGCAGAGAUGAAGACAUUCAUUUGUCAUCAGCUACCUCAACAUCAGACAACUUCACUCCACAUGCACUCUUCAGCAGGUCUGAGGGCUUCUUCUGCAAUCCUAGGGCCGACAGACCAGCAAAGCCUGUUCAUGCCAGCCUGUGGGAAUGGUCCUUCACUGUAAGCUGGGGUGAGGUUCUCACUGCUCUAGAAAGCAUUGAUCAGUUUAGUUCUGUUCCUACAUGAAAAAAAUAUUCUCCUAUGGGAAAAUCCGGGGUGUGAUUGCAAUUUGAUGCAGAAAAUGAGGCUUUUUUAGACUAAAAUUAUCCUAUAGGGCAAAUAAAAAAUAUUCAGUAAAAACGCA
rnacentral:lncRNA from 1 species